GGGGGCGUCGGUUAACUGGCAAACCACCGGUCUCCAAAACCGGGACUGAAGGUUCGAGUCCUUCCGCCCCUGCCA
rnacentral:tRNA from 1 species